UAGCGGCGGACGGGUGAGUAACACGUGGGUAACCUGCCUUAUAGAGGGGGAUAGCCUUCCGAAAGGAAGAUUAAUACCGCAUGAAAUGUUUUUAUCGCAUGGUAGAAACAUCAAAGGAGUAAUCCGCUAUAAGAUGGACCCGCGGCGCAUUAGCUAGUUGGUGAGGUAACGGCCCACCAAGGCGACGAUGCGUAGCCGACCUGAGAGGGUGAUCGGCCACAUUGGAACUGAGACACGGUCCAGACUCCUACGGGAGGCAGCAGUGGGGAAUAUUGCGCAAUGGGGGAAACCCUGACGCAGCAACGCCGCGUGAAUGAAGAAGGCCUUAGGGUUGUAAAGUUCUGUUUUCUGGGACGAUAAUGACGGUACCAGAGGAGGAAGCCACGGCUAACUACGUGCCAGCAGCCGCGGUAAUACGUAGGUGGCAAGCGUUGUCCGGAUUUACUGGGCGUAAAGGAUGCGUAGGCGGAUGUUUAAGUGAGAUGUGAAAUACCCGAGCUCAACUUGGGUGCUGCAUUUCAAACUGGAUAUCUAGAGUGCAGGAGAGGAAAGCGGAAUUCCUAGUGUAGCGGUGAAAUGCGUAGAGAUUAGGAAGAACACCAGUGGCGAAGGCGGCUUUCUGGACUGUAACUGACGCUGAGGCAUGAAAGCGUGGGGAGCAAACAGGAUUAGAUACCCUGGUAGUCCAC
rnacentral:rRNA from 1 species